ensembl:misc_RNA Metazoa_SRP Metazoan signal recognition particle RNA
GCCAGGCAUGGUGAUGCAUGCCUGUAAUCCCAGCUACUCUGGAGGCCGAGGCAGGGGAAUCACUUGAGCCCGGGAGGUAGAGGUUUCAGUGAGCUGCGAGCCAAGAUUGUACCACUGCACUCCAGUCUGGGUGACAGAGUGAGACCCUGCCUCCA